GACGAACGCUGGCGGCGUGCCUAAUACAUGCAAGUUGAGCGCUGAAGGUUGGUACUUGUACCAACUGGAUGAGCAGCGAACGGGUGAGUAACGCGUGGGGAAUCUGCCUUUGAGCGGGGGACAACAUUUGGAAACGAAUGCUAAUACCGCAUAAAAACUUUAAACACAAGUUUUAAGUUUGAAAGAUGCAAUUGCAUCACUCAAAGAUGAUCCCGCGUUGUAUUAGCUAGUUGGUGAGGUAAAGGCUCACCAAGGCGAUGAUACAUAGCCGACCUGAGAGGGUGAUCGGCCACAUUGUGACUGAGACACGGCCCAAACUCCUACGGGAGGCAGCGGUAGGGAAUCUUCGGCGAUGGACGAAAGUCUGACCGAGCAACGCCGCGUGAGUGAAGAAGGUUUUCGGAUCGUAAAACUCUGUUGGUAGAGAAGAGCGUUGGUGAGAGUGGAAAGCUCAUCAAGUGACGGUAACUACCCAGAAAGGGACGGCUAACUACGUG
rnacentral:rRNA from 1 species